GCCGGAGUGGCGAAAUGGUAUACGCGCACGACUCAAAAUCGUGUGGGGCAACCCAUGAGAGUUCGAGUCUCUCCUCCGGCA
rnacentral:tRNA from 1 species